rnacentral:rRNA from 1 species
UACAGAGGGGGCAAGCGUUGUUCGGAAUUACUGGGCGUAAAGGGCUCGUAGGCGGCCGACUAAGUCAGACGUGAAAUCCCUCGGCUUAACCGGGGAACUGCGUCUGAUACUGGACGGCUUGAGUUUGGGAGAGGGAUGCGGAAUUCCAGGUGUAGCGGUGAAAUGCGUAGAUAUCUGGAGGAACACCGGUGGCGAAGGCGGCAUCCUGGACCAACACUGACGCUGAUGAGCGAAAGCCAGGGGAGCAAACGGG